rnacentral:sRNA from 23 species
AAGCAUUUAGGAAGUGCUUAGCUGGUUAAGCUCAGUCAAUCUGAAUUUAACUUUAUCGUCAUGAGAGUUUGCUAGUAGGGAUGCGAGCA